CGAAAAGAGGAAUUUGGCCUCCGUGGUUGUGGAAGUCUGGAAGCACGACGAUGGUCCUGGACUUCGUCGGCGGUUCCUGCAUCGAGAUCGAGCUGCUCGGAAAACUGGACUGGAUGUGCUGGUGGAGCAAGAGAUUGCAUCGAGUGUGUAAUUGCCACGACAUCCAAACGAUGGCCGUCAGCGGCUGGAUGAGGACAUUUUGUUUUUUGCCGAUCGUCAUUCUACUCAAAAGCUGACCGAAACCUACCAGAAGUUUAUGGUAAAGUUUGCAAAAGAUAACGCCAAACGGGAGGAUUGGCAUAAUCGGCCCUCUUGGGCACGGACAAGUUCCUGUGGAAUUUUGGAAAAUCUAGGAGGUGGCGGUAAAGCUCAUUCCGUCACUUCCAACUGAGGGGCAUCGGUGCCAGGGACCCUAUGCAACUCUUCUACCUACACGAUUGCAUCACCAUCUGCGGCCGCCUUAGUCCUAACCCGAUUCUUGGUCCGUCCCAAUCGCGGGAAGUUUUUCGGUGUAGCAUGGCCAGGUUCAGUGAUUUCCGGAAACGUUUCCGAAACGUCGUGGCCGCCGUGAUGUGCAGUGGAAAAGGAAAAAAACAGCUUCUCCUGUGGCAUCGGAAACGACCGGGAAGCAUCAACAUCGGCUGACGAUGUUGAUGACGGAGUGAGGCCGCAGUUGUGAGGAGCGUCCGACGGGAAAUCUUAGCAAAAACACAAGAAGUUUUUUGCGGAGCACGUGCUGGACAGUCCGGAUUCGUGUUGGAGGACGAGGACGUCAUUUCGGGUUGGUGGCGCCAGGCUCAAUUGAAGGCAGCAAGAAGAUUAUCGCGGGUGUUAAACUUACUGUGCAGUGAUGUCAAAACAUGAACGUGAAUAUAAAAACGUACCUCUAUUAUUGUUAAUAAAGAUAUAAAAACAAUUCAAAACAAGUGCUACUAUUUUAAAAACGUAAUCCAAACUAAUUCAAAAGAUUAAGAAAAAAAUGGUGGUUUGCUCAGCAAGUACCUUGACCCAGUAUGAUGGAUUCUAGAAUUUUUUUUAAACCGAAUUAGGCUAGAAAAUAGCUGAAAUAAGUAUAACACUAUUUUGAAAUUACUUUAAUUCCUUUUUUUCUGAAUAUUACACUACUUUUAAACGUUUAGAGACUCAAAGUUCAAACAAACCCGAAAACGUAAUCUUCAUUCAUGGAAAAGAAUUUUUAUUACAGCCAGGUUAAGCUGCCUAAAAUAAAUCAACCAGCAACAACAUAUUACAGCCCAA